AAAAACAAAACAAAACUAUUUUCAGAAUAAAAUUGAAGCAUUAUUAGAAAUUGAAGUUUGAUCCAUGAACUAACAAACCUUUUUUUUUUUUGGACAUAUCUUUAUAUAUAAAAGACACUUUUAAUCUCUCCUAAGGCCCUCCACAUGGGAUGACAGCACAACAAUUAUGUCUCCAGCCGUUCGACACGUGUCCCCUUUUUAAAACGCAAUGUUUUCCGUUUGACCGAGUGGGCUUCGAAAUUGGCUCUACGUUUAGUUUUGUAUUUAGCCCAGAAAAAACAAAACUUCUAUGUUGCUCUGAAACCCUAAUACGGCGACGAAAGACGCAGCUGACUUCUCCCUUAUGCUUUGGUCGUAUCGGCGGAUGUUUCGGAUCCGUAACGGAGACGUUGAGAUUCAUUGGCCUUUAAUCCUGCUGUCUUUAAUCCCAUUCAAUGAGACGCUCACUACGAUAUCUUCGGUUGAGCUUUUUCGUCGGCGAUCCCAUCAAUAAAUAUGUACGUAUCUCGCUUCUGCUAAACGGGCUCUCAAAAUGUCUCUGUUAUCCUUCUUCCUCAUAUGUUCAUCUCUUAUUGCUCAUAUUUCUUAAUGGCUUACUCGAAAGUUUUUUUUUCCGAUUGAAAUCCAGGAGGUGUUCUUCUGUUGUCGAGGCGAGGCUGCUGAGUUUCUGGGAGGUUAGGAAUUUCAAGCGUUGUGGGGGAGCUCAUGAUUCACGUCAACUAUAAAUGUACAAGAUGAGAGAUUUCCACGCACAUCGUCCUGCUCCUUUCAGAUUGAAACCAGUCAGAGAAAACAAGUUCGUCAAACUAAACCCUGCUCAAAAGCUCCUCCAACUAAAAAAAUUUCCUUGGUUGGUGGUUCGGAAUAGACAUGAGAAGCACAGCCAAGAUGGAUGAGACUGGGAUCAAGGUUUCGGGGUGGAAUUACAAGUCUGUCGGAGAAGUUGAACGAAAGCAGUAAGGGACUAAGAGUGUUCAAAAUGGAGUAGGAAAUGUAAGAAGAAGGGAAUCCCUAUAAAAAAUCUGAUGGCUCAGAGGAGGAGGACGAGGCGAAGUAAACAAUUGCUUCUCUAUUUUCGUAAUGACUGUCUUAUCAUUUACUUAUCACUAUUAAGUUGGAUAUAUUUGUGUUGCUUUUAUUGAGCUAUAAACUAUAGCGUAUGUAGUGGA